GACGAACGCUGGCGGCGUGCUUAACACAUGCAAGUCGAACGGAAAGGCCCUGCUUUUGUGGGGUGCUCGAGUGGCGAACGGGUGAGUAACACGUGAGUAACCUGACCUUGACUUUGGGAUAACUUCAGGAAACUGGGGCUAAUACCGGAUAGGAGCUCCUGCUGCAUGGUGGGGGUUGGAAAGUUUCGGCGGUUGGGGAUGGACUCGCGGCUUAUCAGCUUGUUGGUGGGGUAGUGGCUUACCAAGGCUUUGACGGGUAGCCGGCCUGAGAGGGUGACCGGCCACAUUGGGACUGAGAUACGGCCCGGACUCCUACGGGAGGCAGCAGUGGGGAAUAUUGCACAAUGGGCGGAAGCCGGAUGCAGCAACGCCGCGUGCGGGAUGACGGCCUUCGGGUUGUAAACCGCUUUCGCCUGUGACGAAGCGUGAGUGACGGUAAUGGGUAAAGAAGCACCGGCUAACUACGUG
rnacentral:rRNA from 1 species